GUGGAAUAAAUGGAAAAAACUUCCAUUUUCUACACUGGCGUAAGAGGGUAAAAUCAUAGAAAUCCAAAUCACCAAGGAGUAAUUCUCACAACAAAUCACACCCUCAACAAGAAUACUUGCCACAAACAAUACAUCAAACAAAAUCAUAACAGACACUGUUGUGUGUGACGAACGAUAAUACACUCAACAGACGCAUGUAUGGAAACUGCACAAAAAAAUGAUGCCGAUGAAAGGAAAUCAACAAAAUAUCCAAACUUACCCAGGACAUUGUCAAAAGUAAAAAAAGUUCUUUAGAACCUGCAAAAAUAUUACAACCCUACCAAGCAGACAUGUCGAUAUCACUCAUACAUAUAAACAGUCCACAGAUAAACAAGCAAAUUUUCACCAUACAUGACCAUAAGUAACUUGGUAUCACAAGACAAUACACAAGAAUGUAACAAUGAUAAUUCAGGUAUUUAAAUAGACAGACUGCAAAGCAGUCAUAAGAAGUACAUGUCUAGUGAAAGAGUUCACAUAAAACACUAAUCUAGCUUGAUUUAUCUCUUAACAACGAAAACUCAGAGCAAAACUGAUUUCCAGAUCAGAGGUAGCCAGAAUAUGCAAGACAUCCAUGUAUGCAGACAACACUUCUGAAUUCAGCACAACCAUUCAAAGCACAUGCUCCCAAGAGUUGUCAACAACCUGAGUCACACAUUCACUAGAAUUCAAUAAAUAGUUCAGCUGAGCAGAAAUAUACAGACAAAAUACAGGUAAUAUGACACUAAAAACAAGGGUUAGAAAUACAAUGCUUAUAGUUCAUCAAGUUCCAAAUACCACACCUAAUACUUACUUAUAUAGAUGAUACAAUGCAGGAAUAAAAAAGUAUAAUCAGUUAAAACUACAUUUGGCAAACUUUAGAGUAAAUACUGCAAAAUUAAUCAGAACAGAGCAAAAUGAUGCAAAAACAAAAUCAACAAGAGCAUAAAAAGAAUAUUGACGAACAGCAAACCUAGUGUUCAUGUUCAAGUGACAAAAAAACUAAAUAUGGUACAACCAAGAUAAAAUAGUAAUCUUGAAGAGUAAUAUUUCUACUAACUAUAAGAUAACACUUUAUGUUAUAUUACGCUUUCAAUGAUACAUAACCAGUCAAUUUAUCGCAGGAUGUGUAUAGUUAUGUUUUGAAUUCACCAAUGAACUGAAAGAGUGGCCAAUAAAAAUGAAAAUAAAGCUAUUCAAAUACAAGAUGAGAUCCAUUCUAUGCAUAAGCACAUGAUGUGCAACCGCAAACUAAUGGCAGAAACAUUAGAAGCAGAGAUUUCCCAUGGGUGUAUUAUGUAGUCCAGAUGUAUAUACAAUACAACAUACUAGGACAGAAGCAUUAGACAAACAUGGCAUAACCAAAACUUCAACAUUGGAGAAAUCUAACUAAUCAAACAUAAGGAAGCAUUAUAUAACCGCAAUCCAUGAAUCAAAAUCUGGAACAGGAAACUACAGAUUGUAUGUUUUUGUGAUGUGGAACGUGGAAAUGUCUAGUUUCAGGUUCUACGAAAUGUGCUAAUGUUCUGGCAUUAUGAACUAAAUAAGAAACCCAAGGGUGUCGGAUCUGAGGAAGAAACUGAAUUAGCAACCCAAUAAAUGUAAAACCUCAUCACAUCAAUCAACAUAUUUCAGACAUUAACAAACAUCUAAAAUGGUCAAGCAUAUCAGCAUGGGCCCAUUACAAUACUCUGUACAUGACAGAAAUUGCUCAGAUUGUUUGCCAACUGCUGUCACUCCACAACAGAAACACUAUAAUCAACUACAAACCAGCAUAGUUAGAUCAGGGCAACAACACACAGACACAUAUGAUCUGUUAGCAUAACCAAAAUCAACAACAGCAAAGCUCAAUCGUCCAAAAACAACAGCUUGGUCACAAAUCAUGUACCAACUUUUCACAAUGGCAUGUCAUGAAGGAAGACAGAAAGAAAAAACAUGCAACACACAAACACAAUACCAUUUAGUGCAAGGGAUGCAUCAGAUUAUCAUGCCAACAUAAACAUGGCAAUGCCACAAAAAUUGAAGUAUCGACCCACAAAAAACCACAGAAUAAGAAGCAAAUAGCACACUAACAGGAAAAGUAUGGAACAUGUCACACGAUACACCAUUAACCUAGCAACCCCAUACCAACCAAUCAACUUUUGCAGCACCACAUCGCUAAGUCGUCUUACAUAUUUUGCUAGUUCAAACCAGGCAGCAAUCAUCCAUUCCAGUUACAUCACAUAUUCACAUAAAACGCAAACGCAGCAUGACGACAAUGCAACAAUCACAAUUUGCAAACAGGCAUAACACACCAUAGUAUUUCAGGCAUAACACAUAGUAUUUCAUCAUCAUCAUUAAGAAAAUAGCGGAAGACAUCUAUGAUGCACGACUUAUUUUGCUACAAUAUGCCACUCCAAAACAAGCACACUCACCUAGUAAAAGCAAGUAACAACAGAAGGGUGUGAAAUUACCUUAGAAAUAAGGUGGCACAUUGGGGUACAUAGGAGGAGCCCUGCCACCUGGUCCUGGUGACAUCCCUUGAGGGUCCUGACCCCGGAACCCAGAC
rnacentral:lncRNA from 1 species